UACGUAGGGGGCUAGCGUUGUCCGGAAUCAUUGGGCGUAAAGCGCGUGUAGGCGGUCCGGUAAGUCCGCUGUGAAAGUCGGGGGCUCAACCCUCGGAUGCCGGUGGAUACUGUCGGGCUUGAGUACGGAAGAGGCGAGUGGAAUUCCUGGUGUAGCGGUGAAAUGCGCAGAUAUCAGGAGGAACACCAAUUGCGAAGGCAGCUCUCUGGCCUAUAACUGACGCUGAGGUGCGAAAGCGUGGGGAGCAAACGGG
rnacentral:rRNA from 1 species